rnacentral:rRNA from 1 species
UACGUAGGUGGCAAGCGUUGUCCGGAUUUAUUGGGUUUAAAGGGUGCGUAGGCGGUUUUAUAAGUCAGUGCUGAAAUAUCCCGGCUUAACCGGGAGGGUGGCAUUGAUACUGUAAGACUUGAGUAAAGUUGAGGUUGGCGGUAUUGACGGUGUAGCGGUGAAAUGCUUAGAUAUCGUCAAGAACACCGAUAGUGAAGACAGCUAACUAAGCUUUAACUGACGCUGAGGCACGAAAGUGUGGGGAUCAAACAGG